AAAUGUGUAUGCGAUCUGGCUGCGACAUCUGUCACCCCAUUGAUCGCCAGGGUUGAUUCAGCUGAUCUGGCUGGCUAGGCGGGUGUCCCCUUCCUCCCUCACCGCUCCAUGUAAGUCCCUCCUGAAGCUGUGCGCUAGGUCGAAGAGGCGGCCUUCCCGGAAUAGAGACAUACCAGUCUUCGGUCCAGGGUACAUGAGUUGCUGCACUCCACUGCUAGAACCUCCAAACAAACUCUCAAGAGUCCAAUUACAUACAAUUCCUACCACCAGAGUUCCAUAUCCCAUCCUCUCCACAGG
rnacentral:snRNA from 1 species